rnacentral:tRNA from 1 species
GUAGGCAUAGCUCAGUGGUAAAGCACAUGCUUAGCAUGCACAGGAUCCUGGGUUCAAUCCUCAGUACCUCCA